AGCCUACUGGGAACGUGUGCAAAAUGGCGA
rnacentral:piRNA from 1 species